UUAUUUAUUUAUUAAAUUUUGAGUAAUUACUAAUUUUAUUAAAAAUUAUAGUUUAAUGUGUAGUGUGUAAAAGUGGUAUAAUACGCUAUACUUUAUUAAACAUUCAAAUAUAUGUAAUAAAAUAAUGAAGUAUUAAAAUUCUUAUUGAAAAUUUAUAUUUUUUUAGCAUCAUAAAUUAUAUUAUAGUUUUGUUUUUUAAUACUUAUUAAACUUUACCGAAACUGUGUCAAAAUGAUAAAUAUUCAGGAUAAAAAGAGUGAAGAAUUUCCAAUAUCAGAGGAAGAAAAUGACAAACUUACAAUUACGCCACUUGGUGCUGGACAAGAGGUUGGUCGAUCUUGUAUAGUCAUGGAGUUUAAAGGGAAAAAAAUAAUGAUGGACUGUGGUAUCCAUCCAGGCCUCCAAGGCUUAGAUGCUUUACCUUUUGUUGAUCUUAUUGAAGCUAAUGAAAUUGAUUUACUUCUUAUAACUCAUUUUCACUUGGAUCACAGUGGAGCGCUGCCAUGGUUUCUAUUAAAGACUAAAUUUAAGGGAAAAUGUUAUAUGACACACGCUACCAAAGCCAUUUAUCGAUGGCUUCUUUCGGAUUAUAUCAAAGUCAGCAACAUAGGAACUGAGCAAAUGCUUUAUACUGAAGCUGAUUUAGAAAAAAGCAUGGACCGCAUUGAAACUAUUAACUUCCAUGAAGAAAAAGAUGUCGGGGGAAUUCGUUUUUGUGCCUACAAUGCAGGUCAUGUGUUAGGUGCUGCAAUGUUUAUGAUUGAAAUUGCUGGUGUGAAAGUUUUGUACACUGGAGAUUUUUCAAGACAAGAGGAUCGACACUUAAUGGCCGCUGAAAUCCCACCUACAAGACCAGAAAUAUUAAUUACUGAAUCUACAUAUGGUACACAUAUUCAUGAAAACCGUGAAGAACGAGAACAGCGAUUUACUAUGCUCGUACAUGAUAUUGUUAAUAGAGGAGGAAGAUGUUUAAUACCAGUUUUUGCAUUAGGAAGAGCACAAGAACUUUUGUUAAUUUUAGAUGAAUAUUGGGGUCUUCAUCCAGAACUGCAUGAUAUUCCUAUUUAUUAUGCAUCAUCUCUGGCUAAGAAAUGUAUGUCUGUGUAUCAGACUUACAUUAACGCAAUGAAUGAUCGCAUCAAAAGACAAAUAGCUGUUAACAACCCUUUUGUGUUUAAACAUAUCACUAAUUUGAAAAGUAUCGAUCAUUUUGAAGAUAUAGGUCCAUGUGUUGUGAUGGCAUCACCGGGUAUGAUGCAGAGUGGUUUAUCUAGAGAGCUCUUUGAAAUGUGGUGUACUGAUAGUAAAAAUGGUGUUAUUAUUGCUGGUUACGUAGUGCAAGGGACACUAGCCAAAACUAUUCUGUCUGAUCCUGAAGAUAUAAUGACAAUGACUGGGCAAAAAUUACCAUUAAAAAUGUCAGUUGAUUAUAUUUCUUUUUCAGCUCAUACAGAUUAUCAACAAACACGAGAGUUUUUAAAUAUUUUAAAACCCCCACACAUUGUUUUAGUACAUGGUGAACAAAAUGAAAUGCAAAGAUUAAAAUCAGCUUUAGUUAGAGAAUAUGAAGAAAAUGCAGAAGAUAUUAAAGUCUAUAACCCCAGGAAUACAGUUGGAGUAGAUUUUUAUUUCACUGGUGAAAAAACGGCAAAAGUAAUGGGAACUUUAGCUGUUGACAAACCAGUAGAAAAUAAAAUUUUAAGUGGUGUUUUAUUAAAAAGAAAUUUUAGUUACCAUAUAUUUGCAGCUGAAGAUAUACCAAGAUAUUCGGACAUGUUAUUAAGUGAAAUCCAACAAAAACAAGUUCAUAGGUUUACAGGAUCAUUUACUGUAUUGCAAAACAUGUUGUCACAUUUAACUGGAUGCAUUCCUGAAGUAAUAUAUCCCAAUAAAAAAUUAAGAGUAUUGAACUCUGUGGACAUAUCAGUAGAUAAAAAUUUUGCAACUCUGGAAUGGAUUACUACACCUGAAAAUGACAUGUAUGCUGAUAUAGCUGUUCAAGUAUUAAUGAAAAUCCAAACAAUGAAUCAUGGUGAUAUGAAAAAUAUUACAUCAGUUCCAUUUACAGAGUAUGACCAUAUGCAUUUUAAGGAAUGUUUAAUUGAAAUUUUACAAGAAAUGUUUGGUGAAGAAUCGGUUCCUAAAAUAUUUAGAGGUGAAAAAUUGUUUGUAGCUGUUGAUGGAAAGAAGGCAAAUAUUAAUUUGAAAACUUUGGUAUGAUAGUUUUAACACUUUCAUUGUUCGUUAAGUAAAAAAGAAAUAAAAUUUGCUUACUACAAAAAAACUAUGAGGUCACUUGUGAAGAUGAAAGUUUGCAAAGAAUGGUUCAAGCUGCUGUAUCUAAACUACACACUACAGUAACACCUUUAAAUAAAUUUUAAAUAUAAUAAAUAAAAACAAAAUUUGAAAAGAUGCAACUUUGUUUUGUAUGUAUAUUUUUUUAAAAUAAACUAAAUGUAAAUAACAUAA